rnacentral:tRNA from 1 species
GCCCGGGUGGCGGAAUUGGUAGACGCGCUAGAUUCAGGUUCUAGUGGCCGUAAGGUCGUGGAAGUUCGAGUCUUCUCUCGGGCACCA